rnacentral:lncRNA from 1 species
CUCCCGUGGCCCUCUUGCCUUUAUAUAAUGUUACUGACUUGCUUAAUCCUUAUUGGAUUCUAAUUGCAUUAAUUCUUCUCCACCGACUUAUAAAGCCCACUCACCAAGGCCUUUUAAAAUUAUUUCCUUACUAAACUUUGAAAGCAAAGCACACGUUUGACCACAAAAGCAAAAGGCCAAUUAAUGAUUUCUUCUUUUAAUGCCCAGCACAUGCAUUCCAAAUUGCCAAAUCUUUGCUUUCCAAAUGCAUGCCCACCGUUCAUCCUUUGAAGAGAUUGACUUCCAAUUUUGGUCUUCUUGACUUCCAUUAAUUCUUGGUUGCAUUUUUGUCUUCCAAUUUAAUCUUUAUUCCUUCUCAAUUUGAAGUGUUUUCAUGCCCUUUUUAUCAACAAUCUCCAAUUAAUUCCCUAUUCAAUAAAACAAUUCAAUUAAUUAAAAAUAACAAAUAAAUAUAACUAGCAAUUAUAUUAUUAAGGGUAAAAUAUGUAUAUAAAUUAUGUUCAUCAAAUACCCCCAAACUUAGAUUUUGCUAGUCCUCGAGCAAAACUAAAAUUUAAACAAAAACAAAAGUAACGAAACAAAAAGUAAAUCCUAACUAAACCACUUUCGCAGGUAAUCGCGAUUGCAUUUAGCGUAUGCAACAAGCCUUUAAACCCCUAGGCGGCCCUAGUGGACGAGUUAUAGUCUCGUGAGGGCUUCAGUGAUGA